rnacentral:rRNA from 1 species
AGAGUUUGAUCCUGGCUCAGAACGUACGCUGGCGGCACGCCUAACACAUGCAAGUCGAACGCAGUAGCAAUACUGAGUGGCAAACGGGUGAGUAUAAUGUGGGAAUCUGCCUUUUGGUUCGGAAUAACACGAGGAAACUUGUGCUAAUACCGGAUAAGCCUUUACAGGGAAAGUUUUAAUGCCAAAAGAUGAGCCCGCACUUGAUUAGCUAGUUGGUGAGGUAACGGCUCACCAAGACCGCGAUAGGUAGGGGUCCUGAGAGGGAGAUCCCCCACACUGGUACUGAGACACGGACCAGACUCCUACGGGAGGCAGCAGUGAGGAAUAUUGGACAAUGGAGGCAACUCUGAUCCAGCCAUGCCGCGUGCAGGAGGACUGCCCUAUGGGUUGUAAACUGCUUUUAUACAGGAAGAAACCUUGGUACGUGUACCAAGCUGACGGUACUGUAAGAAUAAGGAUCGGCUAACUCCGUGCCAGCAGCCGCGGUAAUACGGAGGAUCCAAGCGUUAUCCGGAAUCAUUGGGUUUAAAGGGUCCGCAGGCGGUCUUUUAAGUCAGAGGUGAAAUCCUAUCGCUCAACGAUAGAACUGCCUUUGAUACUGAAAGACUUGAGUUAUUGUGAAGUGGUUAGAAUAUGUAGUGUAGCGGUGAAAUGCAUAGAUAUUACAUAGAAUACCGAUUGCGAAGGCAGAUCACUAACAAUACACUGACGCUGAGGGACGAAAGCGUGGGUAGCGAACAGGAUUAGAUACCCUGGUAGUCCACGCCGUAAACGAUGGAUACUA